rnacentral:rRNA from 1 species
AUUGAACGCUGGCGGCAUGCCUUACACAUGCAAGUCGAACGGUAACAGGUCUUCGGAUGCUGACGAGUGGCGAACGGGUGAGUAAUACAUCGGAACGUGCCUAGUAGUGGGGGAUAACUACUCGAAAGAGUGGCUAAUACCGCAUGAGAUCUACGGAUGAAAGCAGGGGAUCGCAAGACCUUGUGCUACUAGAGCGGCCGAUGGCAGAUUAGGUAGUUGGUGGGAUAAAAGCUUACCAAGCCGACGAUCUGUAGCUGGUCUGAGAGGACGAUCAGCCACACUGGGACUGAGACACGGCCCAGACUCCUACGGGAGGCAGCGGUGGGGAAUUUUGGACAAUGGGCGCAAGCCUGAUCCAGCAAUGCCGCGUGCAGGAUGAAGGCCUUCGGGUUGUAAACUGCUUUUGUACGGAACGAAAAGCCCUGGGUUAAUACCCUGGGGCCAUGACGGUACCGUAAGAAUAAGCACCGGCUAACUACGUGCCAGCAGCCGCAGUAAAAC